AAUGAACUGGCCUUAGAUUCAAGCGGAUUUUGCUCCACGUUUUCUUGCUCUUUUCCUGGACAAAUGUAUUGACUUCUGGAGCACCAAUUUCUUAUGGACAUAAUGGUGAUGAUGACAUUUACCUUAUAUAACUAUUGUUAACAUGACAGAGAAUGUCUUAUGUAUCCUGCCCAUUCCAGACUGUGUUAGAGAUCUCCAGAAAAUAGACACCAGCAUGGAAUAUGGCUUGCAAGAAAUUUAUGAUGGAAAACAUUGGUGGAGGAUAAAAGACGAGUGAAAUUCAAAGAAGACAGAGACUGCAGACUGUGAUGACACGUAACACAUAUGCAAGAAGAGGGACAACAAGAGAAUUGAAUAGAAAGACUCUAACUGCAGCGCAGUUCCAAGAAAAGGUUCAGCCAUAGUAAUGGUAGUUUUGGAGCCAAAGUUUCCCGGACACUUCAUUGUUUUGGAUUUAUAUUUUGGCCAGUGUGUGAGGGGGCACGGUUUCGGAGAUUUCCACUUGGGCUUUUCCCACUACAAUAGCUUUUACUCCAUAGACCAAGAACCAAAUGUGGCAGCUAUUCCAACUGUCAAGUAUGUCAAUUCCAAUUAUACACUAAAGACCAGAGAAAUAAGCACUGGAUACAUUUUGAGAUGCUGAGUGUAGAGCAGUGCAGAAGCAGCCAAGACCUCAACCCUAACUCCCAUUGCAUUGUGGAUACAAUAAACAGGCGCUGCUAGCAUGCCUUAUGCUACAUGACCCUAAGGAUAUAAACACCUCAG